GAUGAACGCUGGCGGCGUGCCUAAUACAUGCAAGUCGAGCGAACAGACGAGGAGCUUGCUCCUCUGACGUUAGCGGCGGACGGGUGAGUAACACGUGGAUAACCUACCUAUAAGACUGGGAUAACUUCGGGAAACCGGAGCUAAUACCGGAUAAUAUAUUGAACCGCAUGGUUCAAUAGUGAAAGACGGUUUUGCUGUCACUUAUAGAUGGAUCCGCGCCGCAUUAGCUAGUUGGUAAGGUAACGGCUUACCAAGGCAACGAUGCGUAGCCGACCUGAGAGGGUGAUCGGCCACACUGGAACGGAGACACGGUCCAGACUCCUACGGGAGGCAGCAGUAGGGAAGCUUCCGCAAUGGGCGAAAGCCUGACGGAGCAACGCCGCGGGAGUGAUGAAGGUCGUCGGAUCGUAAAAAUCUGUUAUUAGGGAAGAACAAAUGUGUAAGUAACUAGGCACGUCUUGACGGUACCUAAUCAGAAAGCCACGGCUAACUACGUGC
rnacentral:rRNA from 1 species